UCCAUCAGCAGGUGCGCGGUGAAGCAGAAACAGAGGAACGCUCACGCUCACCGGCCGGGAGAAUAAGGGAGAAGCAAGUCGACCCCCGCCCAGGUUCAUAGUGCCCAUAAGACUCAAAACUGAAACUAGCGUACAGCAUCAUGAAAACGAGUUCCUAUUUUCUGAUUGUCACACGUCUUUAAGCUGUCUACUUCUAAGUAACUAGAGCUACCUUAUAGCCGUAUUCACUUGCUUGUUAUUACUGAACGUUUUAACCGUGUUGAAUAAAUAAUAACGUAAUUAUUACCCUCCUCCUCUUCCUCCUCUCUUAAGUGGACUAAAUGUUUGAUGAGGACAGCCAAGAGGGGCGGGGCCAACCGAAUUGCUGGCAGGGAGGGUCGCUGGUUCCAUCCAAGGGUUGCUUAGUGCCUGUCUUUGGUUUAACUUGUUAAGGCUUUAUAGUGAUUGGAUUAACUGUGGUAAAGGCUUCAUAGUGAUUUAAGUGUGGUAAAGGCUUUAUAGUGUUUGUUUAAUUAUGUUAUCUGCUAGACUCCAUAGAACAAAUACACAUGGAGAGUAGGCUAAUCUAUUCUAUAUUUUCUGAUAUGUGUCAGUGUGGCCACUAGAUGUCCCUGUAUCCUCAGUAUUGUUUUAUACCGGGGAUCAUACGGAUAUUCUCUCUUCUAAACUCUAGCACACAGAAGGCUGCGGAGGAGGGCAAGCGGGCAGCGUCUGGAGGGGACUCACCACGGAGCUCCACCAAAAGGAGCGGAAGUGGCAAGGCCAGCGGGAGACGUGGAGGUCGUGCACGCCAUGUAGGCCGAUGGACCGGCCUAACUACAGGUUUGUUUAUGUGCAAAUCCGAUUCCGAUUAGUUUACUGCAAUUACUGCAAAAACAAUUGCCCAAUUUCAUUAAGAUGUUAUGUAGAGUAGUCCAAUAAUAGAAGAAAUCAUCGGCUCCUGAAUUAAACAAAAAAAAGUACAGAAUUUGUAAUUUGAGGAAAGGUCCAUCACUAUGUAAAAAAAGUAUUGAAUGGAAACAAAAUAACCGAGGACUGCUAGGAACGUUAGUUAUCGCACGGCACACAAGUGCAAGGAGUGGCCAGGUAUUCCGGAUGCAGGAGUUGGAUGGUGAAGGAUUUCUCUUAUCGCACCCCCCAUCCACAUGUAUCUCAAGAGGAGAGAAUGGAGAAUAUACCUGAGCAAGGUAAGGUCUGACAUAAAUCUACCUGUCUAGUCUUCCUGAUCCUUUUCUAAUUUAUUCAGUCUGCUGCCAUAUACAGAACGUUAAGUCAUUCGAAUUCACUUUUUGUUUGGACGGAUCACAUUUUACCCACAAUGCAAGCACAACACUGUGCCUGCCAGGUCCCUAGCUUCACAUUGUCAGUUGGCAAACCAGUCAUCUUGAUUACCAUCAACGCUAAAAACGAGUUUCUUAUUGAGAUAUAUCUUAGUCCAAGACUAACCAACACAUACAUACAGUAUGUGUCAAUGAUCAUGACUAAUGUUCUUUUGUUAUGUUAGGGUUUUAUGAUUUGCAUCAGCCACGUUAUGUGUGCCAAACAUGCCUGCAGCAGCGGGCCCCUGAUGUGAGAGACCUAGUCAGGAGUGAACAUUGGCCAGCGUCUGCCAAUGCUUCCACAAUCUACACCAUGGACCUCCUCAACUCCUUUCAGGAGCUGAAGUGGAUCUCACUUGGAUUCUUCAGGCAAGCCUUUGCAAAGCUGCUGGAACAUCGCACACUGUGUGCAGGAAGAACCAACGGGGAUGACCUGCAGAGGAGCUUUCUUGAGUUUGCAUACGCCUCCUUUGAGAAAGAGCAGCUCUGCUGUGAUACCCCUUUCACCUGCCCUGCCUGCAUGCCUGAAAUGGUAGCAGUGUCAGCAGGUGGCAACAGGAAGCCUUAUCGCAAUGGCAAUACUGGAAGGUGGACUUUAAGUUCUCUUUGGUAAAUUAGUCGCGACUGUAAGUGACAACAAGAGUAGACACAGGGGAGAGGCGAAUGUGAAGACUCUCAGUGGGCAGCAGCAAGGGAGACCUCUAGGCGGGCCUCUAAACUCGAUGAGGAAGGCGUUGAGGUUGCGGUGUGUCAGCAUGGCUUCCUUUUAAAAGCCCUUAACAUCUACCGGAGGGGGGAGAUAUUUGCUUAUCCUAUGUAUCUCCAAGAGGAGCUUCUCCCAAGCAAGGCACCGUUUUUUGCGAUGGAAAUGAUGCAAGUACUGCCCAUACACGUGGCAUACCUCUUUAACACUGUUCUGAUCUUCUUUUCUUUUCUUUAAAUAAAAUUCCUCUCAAACGUC